ncrna:unclassified sequences S4-Bacteroidia ribosomal protein leader
GAUUGCAAUUCCUUUCUGUAAUCGCGGACUAG